CCACUCAUUCAAAGAGUGCGUAAUAGCUCACUGGUCGAGUGAUCCUGCGCCGAAGAUUUCCGGGGCUAAAACUUACUACCGAAGCUACGGCAUCAGUAAUGAUGGGUAGGGGAGCUUCCCAUACGGGGUGAAGCAUGACCGUAAGGACAUGUGGACAGUAUGGGAGUGAGAAUGUUGGCAUGAGUAGCGAGAUGUGGGUGAGAAUCGCACCGGCUGUAAACCACAGGUUUGCAGGGGAAGGUUCGUCCGCCCUGGGUUAGUCGGGACCUAAGCUGAGGCCGA
rnacentral:rRNA from 1 species